CCAAAGGCUCUUUUCAGAGCCACCAUUUAUUCUGGUAAAAGGGCUGU
rfam:Meleagris gallopavo isolate NT-WF06-2002-E0010 breed Aviagen turkey brand Nicholas breeding stock chromosome 1, whole genome shotgun sequence.